rnacentral:lncRNA from 12 species
AUAAACAGGGAGCAGAUAGAAGGAAGUUCCCACUGCUGUUGGUGAACUGGAUGUCCUAGUGAGCAUGCCACGUACCCUGGUUUGAUAAGCUACUGACUGAAAACCUUGGUCUGUGUGGCUAAUGUGGUCAGAGGUCAGAGUGAGAUGGAAAAGAGCAAUGCUUUCUUCACACCUGAUAACACUCACUUUUCUCCUUUCCCUUCACCACCUCAAAAGACUGUCAAGGAAAUAUUGCCUUGACACCAUAAAGACUUCUUAAUUGCGGAAAGCUGCUAAAAACUGGAACCCUCUACUCUCAUACUCAGCCUGGACACCAGGAAUCAAAAUCUACAUCAGCAUAACUUUGCUAUUCCCCUCUCUUCAUCAGCAUGACUUUAUUUUUCUGGGAGAGUUUUGCUCAAAUGACUUGAUUGUUUAUCACAGGAACUUCCAAGAAACCCGUCAUCUCUUCAAUAAAAAAUAUCAACAGAUUCUUUGAACCCCUUGC